AAGGUUUACUGAAGUAUAGAGGGUGAAUUCUGCCCAAUGGUUGUAUAGUGAAACUGAGGACUAACAUCUAAAGCGAAACCCAACUGAAUGGCCGCGGUAACUCUGACCGUGAUAAUGUAGCACAAUAAAUAGCCAAUUAAUUGUUGGCGGGUAUGAAUGGAACCACGAGGGUCUUACUGUCUCAAGAGAAAAGCCGAUGAAAUUAUAAUUGUAGUGAAGAUACUACAUAAACAUUGUAAGACGAAAAGACCCUAUCGAGCUUUACUGGAUACCGAUAGCGUUAAUUUAGAAUGAUCGAUACUAAGUAUCCUAAUUCUAAGUUAAUAAUUUUUGUUGGUAGGACAGUUUAGUUGGGGCGACUACCUUUGAAUAAGAAACGAAGGCGAGCUUAUGGUAUUAUUAAAAUCUCAUUAGCCUCACAGUGAGGGGGACACCCCUAGCUGGCACAGGGACUUACCCACAUAGUAUCUUCGCCCCUUUGGGGUUGGGGGUACGUAAUGGGUUCCUAUGUGGGCGAUAGUGACCCGAUAUGAUUAUCCAAAAUAAAUAUCGAAAGCGGAUAAAAGCUACCGUAGGGAUAACAGCGUAAUAUUGUCGGAGAGUUCUUAUCGAGGACAGUGUUUGCGACCUCGAUGUUGAAUUGCGGUGCCCUGGUGCUGUAGAAGGUACCUUAGGUUGGUCUGUUCGACCAUGAAAACCGUA
rnacentral:rRNA from 1 species